rnacentral:rRNA from 1 species
UACGUAGGGUGCGAGCGUUAAUCGGAAUUACUGGGCGUAAAGCGUGCGCAGGCGGUCUGUUAAGACAGAUGUGAAAUCCCCGGGCUUAACCUGGGAACUGCAUUUGUGACUGGCAGGCUAGAGUAUGGCAGAGGGGGGUAGAAUUCCACGUGUAGCAGUGAAAUGCGUAGAGAUGUGGAGGAAUACCGAUGGCGAAGGCAGCCCCCUGGGCCCAAUACUGACGCUCAUGCCACGAAAGCGUGGGGAGCAAA